GACGAACGCUGGCGGCGUGCUUAACACAUGCAAGUCGAACGGAAAGGCCCUGCUUUUGUGGGGUGCUCGAGUGGCGAACGGGUGAGUAACACGUGAGUAACCUGCCCUUGACUUUGGGAUAACUUCAGGAAACUGGGGCUAAUACCGGAUAGGAGCUCCUGCUGCAUGGUGGGGGUGGGAAAGUUUCGGCGGUUGGGGAUGGACUCGCGGCUUAUCAGCUUGUUGGUGGGGUAGUGGCUUACCAAGGCUUUGACGGGUAGCCGGCCUGAGAGGGUGACCGGCCACAUUGGGACUAAGAUACGGCCCAGACUCCUACGGGGGGCAGCAGUGGGGAAUAUUGCACAAUGGGCGGAAGCCUGAUGCAGCAACGCCGCGUGCGGGAUGACGGCCUUCGGGUUGUAAACCGCUUUCGCCUGUGACGAAGCGUGAGUGACGGUAAUGGGUAAAGAAGCACCGGCUAACUACGUG
rnacentral:rRNA from 1 species